GGACCUGUGGCUCAGUGGCAGAGCACCUGCUGGUGUGCAGAAUGCCCCAAGUUCAAUCCCUGGCAUCUCCA